AUGAUAAUAAAAAACCAUCAUUGGAUUUUGACCUAUCUAAUGAAGAAAGCAAAAGGAGAUUAUGUAACAGGCUGUUGUAUAGGAGCAGACAAAGAGGGUUUUUGGAGCUGGAUUUGGUGUUGGGGAAAUGGGUAGAAGAGCAUAUUUAUUCCAUGGAUGAAAAUGGUGUUAAAGCACUAAUUGAUGUUCUUGAUUUGGUAAAUAAUAAUUCUCCAUCAUUUCAUUUGUUGGUCAGCAUGAGUUUUUAUGAUUAAUUAUGGUUUUAAUUUUAAUUUUUUUUCUUUUAGCUUAUUUUCUGGUCUUUGCUCUAACCACAGGAUUAGUUUGUUCUAAUCACUUCAAUUGGUGAUAAUAUCAAAUGUUAGCUUAUAUAAAUUUUCUCA